ensembl:antisense Gm14091 predicted gene 14091
UAAGAGCUGCUCCAUUUCCUCUAGGAUUAUUGUGAAGUCACUGGCUUCGUCUUUACAUAAGGUCUGCUGUUCCAGGAACUGGACACUCUCCUCUUCUUUCAGCUUCAACUUCACCUUCAAGGCCUGAAAGGGAAAUCAUCCCAGAGGGAAACCCAUAACACAACUCUUACAACAAAGACAGCACCCGGACCAGACCGUUAUACCCAUGCUACAUAGAGGGGGGCGACCCCAGUACCAGACAGCAUCUUAUUUCCCACCUUAAAAUUUAUCUGUGCUGGCUCGGGGAAUUUCCCUACUCUGUAUUUAAACUGGAACAAUGAAACCGUUUGUGUCUCCUGCCCCACCAUUUGUCUGGCAAUCGGAAGGCGUCCAAGAAUCUCACCAUGUGGACCAGGCUUCAAACGUACGCAGACCCCUGCUGCCUCUGUAAUAGAAGGGAUCAAAUUCAGACAGCAACGCUUGUACGGCAAGGACCUUAAUCCACCGACCAGCCAUCUUAAGCCUCUGACCACCCUCCCCCUCCAUCCUAAAACAUUAAAAAAAAAAUUCUAAUGUGCAUGUGAAGACAUGUGUGCAUGCACUGUGAGAUGUGUGUGGAGGCCAGAGGGCAACUUGGGGAACUGGGUUUUUCCUUCCAUCACACCGGUUCUGGGAUCAAACUUGUUUGUGAGACUUGCAACAAGGACUUUUACCUACUGAGCCAUCUCAACAGCUUUCUACUAUUAAAAAAAAAAAAUUACUUGUAGGGAAGGGGAGAAUUUAUACCACUCUGUGGAGGUCAGAGGACAAAGUGAAGGACCCAGUCCAGGUCAUCAGGCUUGGUGACAAGACCCUUUACCUGCUCCUCCAUCUCAAAUG